GGGGUUGAACCGACUAGAGCAUGGUCCCGUUUUUUGGUUUGAUGUGUGCCUUUGCCUUAAAACACGAGAGGUGUUUCCCCCCCCACCCACCCCCCCCCCCCCCCCCCCGCAGGAAGGAAGUGCUAGUCACAAGACCCAACUGCCACUCCCAGUUGACCCUCCCCCACACAAACUGUUAGUCUAGUUUCCUUUCCACACUGAGUCUCCACGUUCAGUUCUAACUUCUCUUCUGGGGUUAUAGUUACAUGGAAUCAUCCAAGUCCAGUGGUAGGACAAAAGACAGGAUGACUGGCGAUGGCCCGGGAUGCAGUGAAUGAUGGUGACAUCUUCAAUGGCUGACCAAGCUCUCAGGGCUCCCCACAAGACCUACUUCAGCUGUCUUCAUGGCCAAUGGAACCAAUUAUUCUCAUCUGUCCAUUCUUCCAGGGGAAGUCUUCCUAUGACUGGGGAAGACACCCCCUCCCCAACUUCCCAAUAAAUUUGGGGUCUGUUGAUUACUUUCAACCUCAACCUGAUUAAGCUCUUCUAUGAAGACAAUUUCACUGGGAUGUGCCACAGCUUCUUGGAGCCACAGAUGAAGAAACUUAACCCAGGAAAGGGGAAUCACCCAGCUGUUCUAUUACUUCUCAGAUCCAGGAUUCAGACUAUUCAGCCAUCUUGCCUUUUCCAUCUCCUCCACCAGGUAAUUCUCCCUAUUUCUUCUAUAUACCCCCAUUUUCCACUCUGGCUUGGUUUUGAGAAGCCAGAUUGGAAAAUAGAAGUGUGGGGAAGAGAACCAAGAGUCAGAAGACCAAGGUUCUAAUCCUAGCCUGGCCACUUAUUAUUUCCCUUCCCUGAGCAUUGGAAGAGAUAGAG
rnacentral:lncRNA from 1 species